UGCAUCUGAAAAAGCUGAGAAUUUUCAAAUGUCCUGUUCAGGCACUGGUCCCUGUUGUCUCCCUGGUAGAUGAUGGGACUGAAGACCACAAACUUGCUUCCUCUCACCUGCCUUCACUAUGGGUGUUCUUGAACUGAACCUUCACUGAUGUUUCCUGCAUUGAGUAAAGAUCAGCAGCUCUCCAGGAACCCUGCAAGACUGGGACUGCUGAGGCCCCUAGCCUUGAAGACAGAACAACUACUGGGUUAUCAUCCUCCCUAGUGAGGGAUAGCAACUGUGGGAUUACUCCAGAUGUUUACCACCCAAGUAAUGCCUCGGUCUCUGCUCUCAGAUAAGCGUAAUAUAGGGGUGUAGCCAAGAUGUCAGAAUGCUUGCCAAACAUGUGAAAAUCCCUGAGUUCAACCUCCAGCAUCACAUAAAAUAGCCCGUGGGGUUGUAUACCUAUAUUUCUAGCACUUGGAGAUAGCAGAGGAGGAUCAGAUAUUCAAGGUCAACCUCAACUACCAGGUACAAAAAAAUCUGUCCAGAAUGUUUCUGUGAAUACUGCAGAAAUCAUUUACUCGUGGGAGAUUGCAAGCACCAAGGAGCUGUUUUAGAGUGUUUUGCUCACAGGACUCCAAAGACAGGAAGGCAUUUUUAUGGGUUAGUGCCACAUCAGAUGGGAGAUUGGAGUGUCCUCUGCCUUGGGCACCUGGUGAGACUAUGCUGAUGACCACACUGAAGAUGGGAGAUUGGAGUGUCCUCUGCCUUGGGCACCUGGUGAGACUAUGCUGAUGACCACACUGAAGAUGGGAGAUUGGAGUGUCCUCUGCCUUGGGCACCUGGUGAGACUAUGCUGAUGACCACACCGAUCCAGUGGCUUCUCUGGCACCAGAACAGUAUCAGCACCAUCUGACCCUCUCUCUACCCAUCUUAAAGAACAUAUUGUCUGAGCAGCAUGAUGACAGUUCUGAGCUUCCUGCUGCCUCUGUUUUAAUUUGUUGAUAUUUUCAUUUAACUACUCUGAUGGGAACAUUAAAUCAAUGUGGUUGAUUUUUGAAGAAUGCAAUCUAGAAAAUUCAAUUAUUUAGUGCCUGGAAGGCUUCAGAGAUUAAAAUGCUGCAUUUAAAAAAAUGUAAGGAUUAUUAAAAUUAAGUGCAUGUUUUUUUUCCAUGCAAUUAAAUUGAAUUGUUAAAAGGGUUU